UGCUUCAGGGGAUUAUUAUUUUUUCUUUCUUCUUCGUAUUAUUAUUAGUAUUUUUUUUGGCUUGGAACAAAAAAACACUUGGAUCUCAUUGACAACAUCAAUCCCUGGAUAUUAACUGUGUGUAUAUGGGAUAUGACAUGUAUUAAAGCUAGUGCAGCAAAUCAAGUUUCGUGAAGUCUCCUCAUGCUGAUCCUCAGAAGAACACAACUUAAAAUGAGAAGGCAGAGUGGAGGGGAUAUUAUCACACUUACAGGUGGAUCUUCAACUAGUCUGGACAUUCCACAUAGGUUUCUGAGAUGAGGACACUGAGUUUCAGAGACAUGAAUUGACUUUUUCCUAUGGUCACAUGGGUAACAAAUGGUAGAGUGAGUUUUCAAACCUGGAUCCUCUGUCUUUGAAUCCGUCAUCUGGCCUCACUUGGACCUGGAGAUACAAAGAUCUGAGACAGAACCACUUGGUGAGACAGAAGGAAAUUUAGGAAGUGGACUUGACCCUCAGAAACAUCACACCUUUCAGUGAAUGCCCACGCUGUUCAUGAAAUCAAGCUAAACUGAACCUCUCAUCCUUCCCACUGCCACCCUGCCAAGAAUAUCAAGCAUAUGAACUUGCAGACCCAGCUUCCUCAUAACCUAGCUGACCACUGCAGCCACAGCCAAUAUGCAUGGUAAAUACAUCUUCUCCCCAGAGAACGGUCUGACAGUAAUGUGCUCCAUAUUGUUUCAGAUGUUCCAAAAUGAGAAAAGAACAUGUCUGAGAUAAUGUCAGUAUUGUUAACCCCAAAGUCUUCUGCCCUCCAUAUCAUGCCGAACUCUUUAAAACUGGCGCGUACCCCCACCAUCCACCCCCCACGACAACUGCAAGACACGAUCCUUAAUAAAAAAGGAAAAGAUUAAUUGGAAAGCUGCCUUGAGAGAGCAAAUGUGCCAGACCUGCCAGCUUUAUAAUGUAAGUAAUUAGGGCGGCAUUAUGAGUUAUGUUAUCGCAGCCAGCAGCCCCAGCAGCGACUGUUUGUUUCAGCAUUUAUUCACUGGUACCUCGGAGAGAGAGAGACAGGACUGAGUGGAGAUGGAGCACAGAUACAGGUGGAGGAGAGCAUGUCUCUCAUCUGAAUGCUGAUUUUCGCCUGCCAGUGCUGUGAGGGGGGGAGGUACAGAUAAAGAAAGGCCAAGGAAAAGGUGGACAUCGAUGUGCUGGAUAGAAGUGGCUUAUUAAAUCUGCCCAAUGUACAGUAUUACAUCCAGGUGUCAGAUUAGCUUCAACUCCUGAAUUAAGGAGACAAUGCUGCUCUUUAGGAGGAGCAGAAAAAAGCACCUGAGACAGCUCUUUAAUGAGGACUGCUGCAUAACAGAAGUCCUCACAUAGGAGAUGGAUGGGAGAUGGAUUAAUGUUGUAAUCAGCACACACAGGCAGAGAGCGGCGAUUUGUUUUACUACAGACUAGCCCAGUGUUACUUUGAGAGGUGAAAGGAAGUGAAAGAUAAAAGACAGAACAAUGUGGAUGUGUUUUAAACUCUCAUUAUUCUGCUAGUGCAAUGAAGUCUUUUCUUAAACUUCUCUUCUCUUCUCUUCUCUUCUCUUCUCUUCUC